UGGGUAAGUGGAGAUAGGUAAGUUUAGGGGUGAAGAUGAGUGGAUUUACAGGUGGAGAUGGGUAGGUGGAGAUUGCCUAGUUUAGGGGUGAAGAUGGGUAGGUUUAGGGGCAGAGAUGGGUAGGUGGAGAUGAGUGGGUUUAGGGGUGGAGAUGGUAAAGUUUAGAGGCAGAGAUGGGUAGGUGGAGAUUGGUAAGUUUAGGGGAGGAGAUGGGUAGGUGGAGAUUGGUAAGUUUAGGGGUGGAGAUGAGUGGAUUUACAGGAGGAGAUGGGUAGGUGGAGAUUGCCUAGUUUAGGGGUGAAGAUGGGUAGGUUUAGGGGCAGAGAUGGGUAGGUGGAGAUGAGUGGGUUUAGGGGUGGAGAUGGUAAAGUUUAGAGGCAGAGAUGGGUAGGUGGAGAUUGGUAAGUUUAGGGGUGGAGAUUGGUAAGUUUAGGGGUGGAGAUGAGUGGAUUUACAGGAGGAGAUGGGUAGGUGGAGAUUGGUAAGUUUAGGGGUGGAGAUGAGUGGAUUUACAGGAGGAGAUGGGUAGGUGGAGACUGAUAAGUUUAGGGGUGGAGAUGGCUGGGUUUAGGGGCGGAGAUGGGUAGGUGGAGAUUGGUAAGUUUAGGGGUGGAGAUGGGUAGGUUUAGGUAUAUGUAAGUUGGGAGGAGUUGGAUCUGGAUCUAACCACGCCCCCUGGAUCUUGUGUUAUGCAGUGAGGACCAUCUCCCAAACCUGGCCAGUAAGGCUGUUUAUUAGUCCUGGGUCAGCAUUUGAACC